GACGAACGCUGGCGGCGUGCUUAACACAUGCAAGUCGAACGGAAAGGCCCUGCUUUUGUGGGGUGCUCGAUUGGCGAACGCGUGAGUAACACGUGAGUAUCCUGCCCUUGACUUUGGGAUAACUUCAGGAAACUGGGGCUAAUACCGGAUAGGAUCUCUUGCUGCAUGGUGGGGGUUGGAGAGUGUCGGCGGUUGUGGAUGGACUCGCGGCUUAUCAGCUGGUUGGUGAGGUAGUUGCUUACCAAGGUUUUGACGGGUAGCCGGCAUGGGAGGGUGACCGGCCACAUGGGGACUGAGAGACGGCCCAGACUCCUACGGGCGGCAGCGGUGGGGAAUAUUGCACAAUGGGCGGAAGCCUGAUGCAGCAACGCCGCGUGCGGGAUGACGGCCUUCGGGUUGUAAACCGCUUUCGCCUGUGACGAAGCGUGAGUGACGGUAAUGGGUAAAGAAGCACCGGCUAACUACGUG
rnacentral:rRNA from 1 species